rnacentral:rRNA from 1 species
AUGAUGUGGUUUAAUUCGAUGCAACGCGAAAAACCUUUACCUACCCUUGACAUGUCUGGAAUUCCGCAGAGAUGUGGAAGUGCUCGAAAGAGAACCAGAACACAGGUGCUGCAUGGCCGUCGUCAGCUCGUGUCGUGAGAUGUUGGGUUAAGUCCCGCAACGAGCGCAACCCUUGUCAUUAGUUGCUACGAAAGGGCACUCUAAUGAGACUGCCGGUGACAAACCGGAGGAAGGUGGGGAUGACGUCAGGUCCUCAUGGCCCUUAUGGGUAGGGCUACACACGUCAUACAAUGGCCGGUACAGAGGGCUGCCAACCCGCGAGGGGGAGCUAAUCCCAGAAAACCGGUCGUAGUCCGGAUCGCAGUCUGCAACUCGACUGCGUGAAGUCGGAAUCGCUAGUAAUCGCGGAUCAGCUUGCCGCGGUGAAUACGUUCCCGGGUCUUGUACACAC